UCAGUUCAAACAGUGAUGGUAUGAAGAAAGAAAAGUAGCAGUAAUGCAUCUAAACAUCUUAUGCAAAAAAAUUUGUAAUAAAGAAAUGCAUCAAUAAAUGCAUGAAUUGAUAAACAGAAAUGUAAAUCCUACAGAUCUUUUAACUAUAAACCUGAUGAUGGUGAUGAUCUCAAAAGAAGAAGCUCCUCCUAUAAAGUUUUGUAGGUCGACUACAUCACAGAGAUACAAAAACAAGAAGAGACUCAAAACUAAAAUUAAUUAUUUAAAAACAUUUGAGAAGUUAGAUCAUAAAAAUUGUUGAUCUACAGUAGUAACAAUAUAUUUUUCAUUCUCAGCAUUAAAGAUGUCACUCUCACAUCACUUUACUAUUGUGCUAUAUUUUCUCAAAUAUUUAAAUAAUAAUCAAUUAGACAAGCACAUUAGUGAUUGUAACUGGAUCUUUCUUCUCUUCUCCAGGUGUGAAAUGUAAAACUGGGCCAAGAUGUUUCUCAGAGAGGAGGGACUACACAGAUCUGACACAAUCUGAUCUCUUCAGUGAAACAAUUCAGUCUGAAUCAUCUUAAAGUGAACACAGCGCACUGCACAAUGGAGAUUUAUUCACUUAUUCUCUUCUACAGUCUGGCAUCCGCUGUCUCUGGAAACAUCACACCGAACAAAACAGAGCUUUUUGCUGAGGAGGGUUCAACUGUUACAUUAUCCUGUAGUUAUUCCUCUGCAGAUGAUCUAUUCUGGUACCGUCAGUAUCCCGGAUCAGCUCCUGAAUUUCUUGUGAUCAUCUUAGAUGGUACAACAACCACCAAAAAUUCUGAUGUAGAUCCAAGACUGUCUGUUAAACGAACUAAAUGGGAACAAACUCAUGUGGAUCUGAUCAUCUCCUCUGCUGCAGUAUCAGACUCUGCUCUGUAUUACUGUGCUCUGAGGCCCACAGUCACAGGAAACACAAGAACACUGUACAAAAACCUGUGACAAUGAGAGAUGAGAGAGAAAUGAGAGAUUCUUAUUGUUAUUUGUUACAAUGAGAUGGCACUGUUUCAUUUAUGCAAUACUUGCCAUAAGAGGGCAGUAGUUACUCAAUAUUACAGCAGCUGUUCAUAUCAAUUGUUUACAUUUUAUAUCAGAUUUUAUAUUAAAUAUUCUUAAACCUUCACAGAGUGCAGAUCAGAGGACACAGUUGAUCAGACAAACGUGUGACUGAAGGAAGACAUAUGACAUAUGACAUAUAAAACAGAUUCAGCACUAGAAGGUUAGUAUUUUUGAAGAAUUACUAUAAAAUGGUGGGAAAAAGAUUUAUCAAACACAAUUAAAUGAUGUACAAUAUACAAUACAGCAUAUGGAUGAAAGUGACCAGCAGCAGGAAGUUGAGCGAGGAGGAAGUUCCUGUGUGUGUUUGUGACUGAUCUGCAGUGACUUACAGCUCAAGCACUGAGAGCCUCAACAGAGAACUGAUCUGAUCUGAUUCAACAUGGACACAUGCUUCAUACUGAUUCUCAUUGUGGGAACGGGUGCGUUAUUUAUUAAUUAAUAAAAUUCUGUACAUAAACAAUUACAAUUUUAAAGCAUCAAACAGCAUUUUUUUUUUUUUUUUUUUUUUUUUUGUAAAAAGUAA